AUACGGAGGAUCCGAGCGUUAUCCGGAUUUAUUGGGUUUAAAGGGAGCGUAGGUGGACAGUUAAGUCAGUUGUGAAAGUUUGCGGCUCAACCGUAAAAUUGCAGUUGAUACUGGCUGGCUUGAGUACAGUAGAGGUGGGCGGAAUUCGUGGUGGAGCGGUGAAAUGCUUAGAUAUCACGAAGAACUCCGAUUGCGAAGGCAGCUCACUGGACUGCAACUGACACUGAUGCUCGAAAGUGUGGGUAUCAAACAGGAUUAGAUACCCUGGUAGUCCACACAGUAAACGAUGAAUACUCGCUGUUUGCGAUAUACAGUAAGCGGCCAAGCGAAAGCAUUAAGUAUUCCACCUGGGGAGUACGCCGGCAACGGUGAAACUCAAAUGAAUUGGCGGGG
rnacentral:rRNA from 1 species